AAAUUGAAGAGUUUGAUCAUGGCUCAGAUUGAACGCUGGCGGCAGGCCUAACACAUGCAAGUCGAACGGUAACAGGGAUCAGCUUGCUGAUUCGCUGACGAGUGGCGGACGGGUGAGUAAUGUCUGGGAAACUGCCUGAUGGAGGGGGAUAACUACUGGAAACGGUAGCUAAUACCGCAUAA
rnacentral:rRNA from 1 species